GCGGGAAGAGCUCAAAGUUAAAAUCGGGGUACUGAGAGGUGCUUCCGAAUUGUAAUCUAGAGACACUUUUUCAGCUUCGACCCGGGUAUAAGUCUUUUGAAACAAGGCGUCAUAGAGGGUGAGAAUCCCGUCUUUGACUCGGAGUUCGGGGCGUACGAAGGGUGUUCCAAGAGUCGAAUAGCUUGGGAAUGCUGUUCUAAAUGGGUGGUAAAUUUCAUCUAAAGCUAAAUAUCGACGAGAGACCGAUAGCGAACAAGUACCGUGAGGGAAAGAUGAAAAGAACUUUGAAAAGAGAGUUAAAAAGUACUUGAAAUUGUUAAGAAGGAAGCAAUGGAAACCAGUUGUGCCGCUUUUACAUAGACACUACGUUCGUGAGAGGGCAAAUCGGCACCUCAUACGGCCGACCAAACUUCAGAGCUAGCGUAGUGUUCUCGUAGAGGUGGUGAGUCAGGAUCGGUUCUGUUCGCAGAAGAAAGCCAACGGAAGGUAGUCAAUUCUCAGCGAUGGGAGUUGAAACUUAUAGCCGUUGGCCAAACUGCGGAUGGGACCGAGGUACGACGAUAAUGCGCUCCGCAAGGCUGCUGGUGGGGGUUCCUAGCUGGCGGUGGGCUUGAACAGCAAAGCUGUGCAGAGUUCACCGUUGGUUACUGGGCUUUCACUUGACAACGCAUUCGCGAUCUUGACGAAAUGGUUUUCAUCGACCCGUCUUGAAACACGGACCAAGGAGUCUAACAUAUAUGCGAGUAUUUGGGUGUGAAAACCCUGAUGCGCAAUGAAAGUGAAGCCAGACUUUGUCUGGUGAGGUAGGAACCGCAAGGGGCACUAUCGACCGAUCGUUCAUUUAUGAAAGAUUUGAGUAAGAGCAUAUCUGUUGGGACCCGAAAGAUGGUGAACUAUGCCUGAUCAGGGUGAAGCCAGGGGAAACUCUGGUGGAGGCUCGUAGCGAUACUGACGUGCAAAUCGUUCGUCUGAAUUGGGUAUAGGGGCGAAAGACUAAUCGAACCAUCUAGUAGCUGGUUCCCGCCGAAGUUUCCCUUAGGAUAGCUGGAACUUAUACAGUUUUAUCAGGUAAAGCUAAUGAUUAGAGGUCCUAGAGUUGAAACAACUUUAACCUAUUCUCAAACUUUAAAUAGGUAAGAAAUCUAUGCUUUCUUUGUUGAAGCUAGAUCUCGAAUGAAAGUUCUUAGUGGGCCAUUUUUGGUAAGCAGAACUGGCGAUGCGGGAUGAACCGGACGUUAAGUUAAGGUGCCAAACUAUUCGCUCAUCUAGAUACUCCUAAAAGGUGUUGGUUCAUUUAG
rnacentral:rRNA from 1 species